rnacentral:rRNA from 1 species
AUUGAACGCUGGCGGCAGGCCUAACACAUGCAAGUCGAACGAGUGGCGGACGGGUGAGUAAUGUCUGGGAAACUGCCCGAUGGAGGGGGAUAACUACUGGAAACGGUAGCUAAUACCGCAUACCAUCGGAUGUGCCCAGAUGGGAUUGGCUAUUAGGUGGGGUAAUGGCUCACCUAGGCGACGAUCCCUAGCUGGUCUGAGAGGAUGACCGGCCAAACGGGAACUGAGACACGGUCCAGACUCCUACGGGAGGCAGCAGUGGGGAAUAUUGCACAAUGGGCGCAAGCCUGAUGCAGCCAUGCCGCGUGUGUGAAGAAGGCCUUCGGGUUGUAAAGUACUUUCAGCGAGGAGGCGUUACCCGCAGAAGAAGCACCGGCUAACUCCGUGCCAGCAGCCGCGGUAAUAC